rnacentral:rRNA from 1 species
ACAGGCCUAACGCAUGCAAGUCGAGGGGCAGCAUGGUAUCAGCUUGCUGAUACCGGAUGGGCGACCGGCGCACGGGUGAGUAACGCGUAUGUAAUCGUGACCUGUAACAGAGGGAUAACCCGGAGAAAUCCGGCCUAAUACCUCAUAGCACAUAUUAUUCGCAUGAGUUUUANGUUAAAGAGACUCGGUUACAGAUGAACAUGCGUUCCAUUAGAUAGUAGGCGGGGUAACGGCCCACCUAGUCUUCGAUGGAUAGGGGUUCUGAGAGGAAGGUCCCCCACAUUGGAACUGAGACACGGUCCAAACUCCUACGGGAGGCAGCAGGUGAGGAAUAUUGGUCAAUGGGCGGAAGCCUGAACCAGCCACGCCGCGUGAAGGACUAAGGCCCUACGGGUCGUAAACUUCUUUAGACGCAGAGCAAUAAGGUCCACGCGUGGACCGAUGAGAGUAUGCGUAGAAUAAGCAUCGGCUAACUCCGUG